rnacentral:rRNA from 1 species
UACGUAGGGUCCGAGCGUUGUCCGGAGUUACUGGGCGUAAAGCGCGCGCAGGCGGCGGUGCUGGCCCGGCGUGAAAGCCCCCGGCUCAACCGGGGAGAGUCGUCGGGGACCGCACCGCUUAAGGGCGGUAGGGGCUGGUGGAAUGCCUGGUGUAGUGGUGAAAUGCGUAGAGAUCAGGCAGAACACCUGGGGCGAAGGCGGCCAGCUGGGCCGUCCCUGACGCUGAGGCGCGAAGGCGUGGGGAGCGAACGGG